CUCUUUCUUCAAUCUGUAGUCAAACUUUGGGUAAUAAAAAAAAAAUCACUUUUUUUAGCCCCUUAAGGACACGUGACAUGUCAUAAUUCCCUUUUAUUCCAGAAGUUUGGUCCUUAAGGGGUUAAAACGGAAUUACAAGCAAGGUGUCUGUGUUCCUGUCUGAAGGCAGGCAUCCUCAAAAAAAACGAUACCCCAGAUACUAUCGGUUACCCAGGGUGGAUUACAUGAAUGUGAGAAUGUACGUAUCUAGAUUUCUGUGGAAGUAAUCAGUAAGUAAUCAAACUGAGCUACAAUGAAUUAGACGCUUAUACACUAAACUG